AUGCACUUCACAAAUAAUAAUCAAUAGAAAGAAAAUAAAGAGGGCAAUUAGUUAUUGAUGUAUAUUCAUACAAUGCAAAUGCCUAAUUCUUACUUUACUGAUCAAAAGACGGUUCCAAACAGGUAGAAGAAUCCCCUUAUGAAAUUUCCAUCCUAGUACAAAACAUGAGCAUCAUAGCAGAAAGUUUUUCUUCAUGAGAAAUACCACCAACAUAAUGAAUUAAUUAAGCUUUCACAGGCUCAGCUCUGGGCCUCCAAAGUCCCAGCCUAUAUUUGUGAGUGUACUUCAGUAUCAGCUUCCUAUGUUUACACGGGAUGCCAAGUUUCUUGAGCUUAAGAGUUCGAGUAACAAGAAGCUUCGAGAAAUCUCCAAUCUCUGAUUCAAGUUUCUCAACGUGCGUCUCUACCCCCUUCCCUACUCCAUUCAAAAACUCUGGAAUCCCCACCUUCACUAUGUAAGGAUUGGAUUUGGAAGAAAAGCUAGCGAACCCAGAUGUCACAGAGUUUGAAGGUACUGAAAGUAAUCUUCUGUUGGACAAUAGAAUUUGCCUCCACGCCAUUGUUGAGCUUCCUGUGAAUUGAGAGCUUCUCCGGCUACUUCCUGACGGUUCUGAACAAAACCCUCACACAAUUACGCAAAGAUGAGAAAAUGAUCGAAAUAGUCCCUAAUCUAUUGGCUUUGUUUGUUUUUAUCCUUUAUGUAUAACCCUUUG
rnacentral:misc_RNA from 1 species